GCCAGUGUGUUACAAUUUAAACAUGUUUUCUGUUGUUCAACAGAAGUUGAACAACAGAAGACAUGUUUAAAUUGUAACACACUGGCA